AGUGGCGCACGGGUGAGUAACGCGUGGGUAAUCUACCCUCAAAUUGGGGAUAACCCGCCGAAAGGCGGGCUAAUACCGAAUGACAUCUUGAAAACUUAUGUUUUCAGGAUCAAAGGUGGCCUCUACAUGUAAGCUAUUGUUUGGGGAUGAGCCCGCGUACCAUUAGCUUGUUGGUAGGGUAAUGGCCUACCAAGGCUACGAUGGUUAGCUGGUCUGAGAGGAUGAUCAGCCACACUGGAACUGACACACGGUCCAGACUCCUACGGGAGGCAGCAGUGAGGAAUUUUGCGCAAUGGGGGAAACCCUGACGCAGCAACGCCGCGUGAGUGAUGAAGGCUUUCGGGUCGUAAAGCUCUGUCAAGUGGGAAGAACUCAUAUGGUGUUAAUAUCGCCAUAUGCUGACGGUACCAUUGAAGGAAGCACCGGCUAACUCCGUGCCAGCAGCCGCGGUAAUACGGGGGGUGCGAGCGUUAUUCGGAAUUACUGGGCGUAAAGAGCGCGUAGGCGGUCUUUUAAGUCAGGUGUGAAAGCCCGGGGCUCAACCCCGGAAGUGCACUUGAAACUAAGAGACUUGAGUAUGGGAGAGGGAAGUGGAAUUCCUGGUGUAGCGGUGAAAUGCGUAGAUAUCAGGAGGAACAUCAGUGGCGAAGGCGACUUCCUGGACCAAUACUGACGCUGAGGCGCGAAGGCGUGGGGGAGCAAACAGGAUUAGAUACCCUGGUAGUCCACGCAGUAAACGGUGAAC
rnacentral:rRNA from 1 species